rnacentral:tRNA from 1 species
GAAUAAUUAACAUAUAAAAUGUAUAUAUUUUGAAAAUAUAAAAAAAAUAAUUUAUUUAUUAUUCU